rnacentral:lncRNA from 1 species
UACAAAACGAUUUUAAAAUGCAUCAUUCUCGUGCCACUCUAAUUAAUAUUGUUUCCAGCUGAUUAGUGGUUUUGACUCCACAAGGUCAGCUGUUAAAUUGCCACAGUCACACUCAGCUCUAAGCCUGUUAGUGUUUCAUGGGGCUGAAGUUUCUCCCUUGGACAUUCUGCUUUUACAGCGCUCUGUAGGAAAGGAACUGCUUGUAACACUGAAGACACAAAGCCCUUGGUGGCCAGAGGAUGAUCCAGAGCAGAAAAUGGUAGCCAUAUCCACAGGAGCUUACACAGUCUGAUUCACAACCACCUCAUCGACUCCAAAGCUUCCAAAGAGCGGUCCAGAGAGC